GUGGGGAAUAUUGCACAAUGGGGGAAACCCUGAUGCAGCGAUGCCGCGUGAAGGAAGAAGAUUUUCGGAUUGUAAACUUCUAUCAGCAAGGAAGAAAACGGACAGUACUUGAGUAAGAAGCCCCGGCUAACUACGUGCCAGCAGCCGCGGUAAUACGUAGGGGGCAAGCGUUAUCCGGAAUUACUGGGUGUAAAGGGUGCGUAGGCGGCCCGGCAAGUUUGAUGUGAAACCCAUAGGCUUAACCUGUGGCAUGCAUCAAAAACUACCGAGCUAGAGUGCAGGAGAGGAAAGCGGAAUUCCUAGUGUAGCGGUGAAAUGCGUAGAUAUUAGGAAGAACACCAGUGGCGAAGGCGGCUUUCUGGACUGCAACUGACGCUGAAGCACGAAAGCGUGGGGAGCAAACAGGA
rnacentral:rRNA from 1 species